GUUAUAGAGGGUCUACUGGUUCUGUUAUAGAGGGUCUACUGGUUCUGCUAUAGAGGGUCUACUGGUUCUGCUAUAGAGGGUCUACUGGUUCUGUUAUAGAGGGUCUACUGGUUCUGUUAUAGAGGGUCUACUGGUUCUGUUAUAGAGGGUCUACUGGUUCUGUUAUAGAGGGUCUACUGGUUCUGUUAUAGAGGGUCUACUGGUUCUGUUAUAGAGGGUCUACUGGUUCUGUUAUAGAGGGUCUACUGGUUCUGUUAUAGAGGGUCUACUGGUUCUGUUAUAGAGGGUCUACUGGUUCUGUUAUAGAGGGUCUACUGGUUCUGUUAUAGAGGGUCUACUGGUUCUGUUAUAGAGGGUCUACUGGUUCUGUUAUAGUGGGUCUACUGGUUCUGUUAUAGAGGGUCUGUUAUAGCGGGUCUACUGGUUCUGUUAUACAGGGUCUACUGGUUCUGUUAUAGCGGGUCUGUUAUAGAGGGUCUACUGGUUCUGUUAUAGGGGGUCUGUUAUAGAGGGUCUACUGGUUCUGUUAUAGAGGGUCUAC